rnacentral:tmRNA from 1 species
GGGGACGUCCUGGCUUCGACGCCGGUAGCAAAACCUGAGGUGCAUGCCGAGAGAGGAGUAGCUCUCGUAAAUAAAUUACUUCAUUUUAUUAUAGUCGCAAACGACGAUAAUUACGCUCUAGCCGCUUAAGGCUGCUCAUGAAACCAUGUUGCCUAUCGCCGGUGGAUUGAGUUUACGAGCGCAGCUAGAUAGGAUCGCGGCAAAGAUAGUCUACGUCAGCGUCGCUAAAACUAAAUCGUAGAAUCGCUGAAGGGUAUCCUGUUCGUUGGAGACCUAACGGUUAAAACAAAAAACGAAACUAAGCAUGUAGAUCCAAGGGCGGAGUGCCGACGGACGCGGGUUCAACUCCCGCCGUCUCCACCA